AUUGAACGCUGGCGGCAUGCUUUACACAUGCAAGUCGAACGGCAGCACAGGGAGCUUGCUCCCGGGUGGCGAGUGGCGAACGGGUGAGUAAUACAUCGGAACGUGUCCUUUUGUGGGGGAUAACUACUCGAAAGAGUAGCUAAUACCGCAUACGAUCUGAGGAUGAAAGCGGGGGACCUUCGGGCCUCGCGCGAUUGGAGCGGCCGAUGGCAGAUUAGGUAGUUGGUGGGAUAAAAGCUUACCAAGCCGACGAUCUGUAGCUGGUCUGAGAGGACGACCAGCCACACUGGGACUGAGACACGGCCCAG
rnacentral:rRNA from 1 species